rnacentral:lncRNA from 1 species
CCUUAAGGAUAUUGUGUAUUGGGCUUCGAGUUUGAUCUCAUCAAAUCUGGUUCAGAUUCAAUCAUUGGUAUUAGUUCUUCUACCUGUCGAACUUCAUCAAGCUUGAUUUUAGAGGUACUUAUUCCUUCAUUAAGGAACUCUUUUUUCAACAAAUGUACCUUACUGCUGACAAAUACCUUUUAUUCAGCAAGCAGAUAAAAAUAAUAUCUCUUCAUUUCUUUGGGGUAUCCUAUGAAAUUAUAUUUACCAGAUCUAG